GUACACGCUGUGACUAGCAUAUCAAUAAGCGGAGGAAAAGAAACUAACAAGGAUUCCCCUAGUAACGGCGAGUGAAGCGGGAAGAGCUCAAAUUUGAAAUCUUAAAGGGUUUCCCUUUACGAAUUGUAGUUUAAAGAAGUGUUUUCUGUUGAGGUUUUGGUAAAAGUUCUUUGGAAUAGGACAUCAUAGAGGGUGAGAAUCCCGUAUUUGACCUUUACCUUCAACUUUGUGAUACACUUUCAAAGAGUCGGAUUGUUUGGGAAUGCAGUCCAAAAUGGGUGGUAAAUUUCAUCUAAAGCUAAAUAUUGGCGAGAGACCGAUAGCGAACAAGUACCGUGAGGGAAAGAUGAAAAGAACUUUGAAAAGAGAGUUAAACAGUACGUGAAAUUGUCAAAAGGGAAGCGUUUGACACCAGUGUUGUUUUUCUGAAAAUCAAUUAAAGAACUGUUUAUGCUAAGCUGUUUAGACUUUAUCAGCUAUCUGUUUAGUUUUGAGCUUUUCUUUAAUGCACUUUUCAGUUAACAAGUCAACAUCAAUUUCUUUUGCUGUAAAAAAGCUUGAGGAAGGUGGCUUGAGAUUCGUCUUAAGUGUUUAUAGCCUCUUGCCUAUGCAGUCGGAGAGAUUGAGGUCUGCAGCGUAGAUCCUUCGGGGCUAAAUGCAUUUGUGCUAAGUUAUAGCAUUUUAUAGACAACUUGUUGACUAUGAUUUGUCUUGUAGCUUACUCGCUUAUGUUAUUUUACCUACGCUUAGGAUGUUGAAGAUGUAGCACAUCAU
rnacentral:rRNA from 1 species